UCAUUUGGCUUGGCCAUUCUUCCCAUCAUCCUUUAUUUCUUUUAUUUCUUUCUUUUUCUUGUUUGCUUACGUUAUUAGGGUGUAGCUUUCCCUCGAUCAUUUCUGACGUACCUUAUCGAGAUACAAUCCUUCAUUUUCUACCACUAGCUACCUCCUCCUCUUCGAGAGGACACGUUUUAUCAUUUAGGACUGCGCACCUUCCUCGUUCCCGAUCAUCCCAGAAUAAGGCAUGUGUCUACCUUAAGGACUGUUGAGAGUUUUUACUAGCUCAUCCUCACUGCCUCUCUAGGGUAUAAUCUUUCUAUCCAGUAAAGUCGACGAAAUCAUUUCAAAGGCUGACAAAUACACGUAGAUUCCCUACCUGGUCCCUACUCAAUAAAGUUCCUUCUAAUAAAGAGUCCGGUCUGUCCUGGGAAAGAGACCCAACCAAUGUCACUCGAUUUUCCCUUUCUUUCCUUCAGACUGGGAUUUCCAGCCUGUAAAUUGAAAAAUAU
rnacentral:lncRNA from 1 species